rnacentral:rRNA from 1 species
UACGUGGGUGACCAGCGUUGUCCGGAUUUACUGGGCGUAAAGAGCGCGCAGGCGGUCGUUCAAGUCGAGUGUGAAAGCCCCCGGCUCAACUGGGGAGGGUCACUCGAUACUGAUCGACUUGAAGGCAGGAGAGGGAAGCGGAAUUCCCGGUGUAGUGGUGAAAUGCGUAGAUAUCGGGAGGAACACCAGUGGCGAAGGCGACUCGCUGGACCGGUUCUGACGCUGAGGCACGAAAGCGUGGGGAUCAAACAGG